GGAAACGACUGCUAAUACCGAAUAAGUUCCAAGGGCCGCAUGGCCCAUGGAAGAAAAGGUGGCCUCUACCUGUAAGCUAUCGCCUGAAGAGGGGUUUGCGUCUGAUUAGCUGGUUGGAGGGGUAACGGCCCACCAAGGCGACGAUCAGUAGCCGGUCUGAGAGGAUGAACGGCCACACUGGAACUGAGACACGGUCCAGACUCCUACGGGAGGCAGCAGUGGGGAAUCUUCCGCAAUGGGCGAAAGCCUGACGGAGCAACGCCGCGUGAGUGAUGACGGCCUUCGGGUUGUAAAACUCUGUGAUCCGUUUUUAAAAGGCAGAGUGCGAAGAACAAACUGCAUUGACGGUACCGGAAAAGCAAGCCACGGCUAACUACGUGCCA
rnacentral:rRNA from 1 species